AGGGUAGUUAUGUUCGGAUAGUUUGAUCAUGCAGUCGAUCUUUCAAAAAAUCGUCCAUAUGUACACCCUCCAAUUAGGUUCAACCACAUGUUAUCCUUCGCGCACAUGUUGAAGUGUCGAAGAAGUUGAGAAAAGAUAAAAUUAAUGUUGGUUGAUCCUCAUCCACCAAUAAUGUGGCAGUCAACACCUUUAAAAAAAA
rnacentral:lncRNA from 1 species